rnacentral:sRNA from 1 species
UAUUCUGCCCCACGGGGAAGGAUGAGAAGCUUCGACCAAAGUUCGACUCGAGCGAAGCGAGAGAACGUUGCCGCAGGCAACGGCCCGAAGGGCGAAGCGCUUUAGCGCCGAGUAAUCCUUCCCCCACCACUG